CACAGUUAUCCUGCACGGCUGAUGGGCUUCCUGACUCUUCCCUUCAUCAGCACCUAAACUGGGCAAUUUUAAACUACUUGAGUAUGAUGGAGGGGAAAGGAGAAGAAGAGCAGAUAAAUUUCCAUCAGUCUCAACCACCGAAAGAAUUUGUCCUUGGUACCUGCCAAAUGUGAAACUUCAGACCAGAGAAGUCAGUUCUGAAGACACUUGCCUGAAAUUGAGCUGCUUGCUUCCCUUGGAAGUGUUGGAUGCUUUGGAUUGGUACAAAACACGACAUUAAGAUAAAAGAUUUGCGUUAACUAUGUUUGCAAGUUUGU